rnacentral:rRNA from 1 species
UGGGGAAUAUUGGACGAUGGGGGGAACCCUGAUCCAGCCAUGCCGCGUGUGUGAAGAAGGCCUUAUGGUUGUAAAGCACUUUAAGCGAGGAGGAGGGUACUGGUAUUAAUACUACCAGCUACUGGACGUUACUCGCAGAAUAAGCACCGGCUAACUCUGUGCCAGCAGCCGCGGUAAUACAGAGGGUGCGAGCGUUAAUCGGAUUUACUGGGCGUAAAGCGUGCGUAGGCGGCUAAUUGAGUCGGAUGUGAAAUCCCCGAGCUUAACUUGGGAAUUGCAUUCGAUACUGGUUAGCUAGAGUGUGGGAGAGGAUGGUAGAAUUCCAGGUGUAGCGGUGAAAUGCGUAGAGAUCUGGAGGAAUACCGAUGGCGAAGGCAGCCAUCUGGCCUAACACUGACGCUGAGGUACGAAAGCAUGGGGAGCAAACAGG